GAUGAAGAACGUAGCGAAAUGCGAUAACUAAUGUGAAUUGCAGAAUUCAGUGAAUCAUCGAGUCUUUGAACGCACAUUGCGCCCCCUGGUAUUCCGGGGGGCAUGCCUGUCCGAGCGUCAUUGCUGCCCUCAAGCACGGCUUGUGUGUUGGGCUCCGUCCCCCCGGGGACGGGCCCGAAAGGCAGCGGCGGCACCGAGUCCGGUCCUCGAGCGUAUGGGGCUUUGUCACCCGCUCUGUAGGCCCGGCCGGCGCCAGCCGACAACCCAUCAUCCUUUUCAGGUUGACCUCGGAUCAGGUAGGGAUACCCGCUGAACUUAAGCAUAUCAAUAAGUGGGGA
rnacentral:misc_RNA from 1 species